UACGGAGGGGACUAGCGUUGUUCUGAAUCACUGGGCAUCAAGCGCACGUAGGUGGUGUCGUAAGUCGGGUGUGAAAUCCCUCGGCCUAACCGAGGAACUGCGCCCGAUACUGCGAUGCUUGAGGAUCAGAGGGGUGCAUGGAAUUUCCGGUGGAGCGGUGAAAUGCGUUGAUAUCGGAAGGAACUCCGGCGGCGAAAGCGAUGCACUGGCUGAUUUCUGACACUGAGGUGCGAAAGCCAGGGGAGCAAACGGG
rnacentral:rRNA from 1 species